GACGAACGCUGGCGGCGUGCUUAACACAUGCAAGUCGAACGGUAAGGCCCUUCGGGGUACACGAGUGGCGAACGGGUGAGUAACACGUGGGUGAUCUGCCCUGCACUUCGGGAUAAGCCUGGGAAACUGGGUCUAAUACCGGAUAGGACUCCGGACUGCAUGGUCUGGGGUGGAAAGCUUUUGCGGUGUGGGAUGGGCCCGCGGCCUAUCAGCUUGUUGGUGGGGUGAUGGCCUACCAAGGCGACGACGGGUAGCCGGCCUGAGAGGGUGACCGGCCACAGUGGGACUGAGAUACGGCCCAGACUCCUACGGGAGGCAGCAGUGGGGAAUAUUGCACAAUGGGGGCAAGCCUGAUGCAGCGACGCCGCGUGAGGGAUGACGGUCUUCGGGUUGUAAACCUCUUUCAGCAUCGACGAAGCGAAAGUGACGGUAGGUGCAGAAGAAGGACCGGCCAACUACGUGCCAGCCGCCGCCGUAA
rnacentral:rRNA from 1 species